CAGUCGCGCGGUAAUACAGAGGUCCCGAGCGUUGUUCGGAUUCACUGGGCGUAAAGGGUGUGUAGGAGGUUGGAUAAGUCAGGUGUGAAAUCCCGCAGCUCAACUGCGGAACUGCAUUCGAUACUGUUCAACUAGAGGAUCGGAGGGGGAAGCGGAAUUCUUGGUGUAGCGGUGAAAUGCGUAGAUAUCAAGAAGAACACCGGUGGCGAAGGCGGCUUCCUGGAAGAUACCUGACUCUGAAACACGAAAGCCAGGGGAGCGAAUGGGAUUAGAUACCCCGGUAGUCCCUGUCUCUUAUACA
rnacentral:rRNA from 1 species